AUUGAACGCUGGCGGCAUGCUUUACACAUGCAAGUCGAACGGUAACAGGGAGCUUGCUCCGCUGACGAGUGGCGAACGGGUGAGUAAUGCGUCGGAACGUGCCGAGUAGUGGGGGAUAACGCAUCGAAAGGUGUGCUAAUACCGCAUACGCACUGAGGUAGAAAGUGGGGGACCUUCGGGCCUCACGCUAUUCGAGCGGCCGACGUCUGAUUAGCUAGUUGGUGAGGUAAAGGCUCACCUAGGCGACGAUCAGUAGCGGGUCUGAGAGGAUGAUCCGCCACACUUGGACUGAGACACGGCCCAGACUCCUACGGGAGGCAGCAGUGGGGAAUUUUGGACAAUGGGCGAAAGCCUGAUCCAGCCAUGCCGCGUGUCUGAAGAAGGCCUUCGGGUUGUAAAGGACUUUUGUCGGGGAGGAAAUCCCCAGCGCUAAUACCGCUAGGGGAUGACAGUACCUGAAGAAUAAGCACCGGCUAACUACGUGCCAGCAGCCGCCGUAACAC
rnacentral:rRNA from 1 species